rfam:TPA: Bos taurus chromosome 2, whole genome shotgun sequence.
UCCCUAGGGGUCCAGUGGUUAGGACUCUGAGCUUUCACUACAGUGCCCCAGGUUCACUUCCUGGUCAGGGAA